CAAAAUAACAAAGUAAAAAUAAAAAAAUAUUACAUGAAUAUGAAGAUCUAAAACGAAACUCAGUAUGAAGAAUUGGAAUUUGCAAAGUACUUAAAAAUUACAAUAAAAUGUCAGCUUCAUUCAUCAAAUACAUAAGCUAUGUCAAUAAUUUUGAUAAGAUGUGAAGUCAAAAUCGAUGAUACAAAAUAUUGAAGGGUAAACAAAUUUCAGACACAGUUUCCGUCCCUUAUGAAUCAGACCAAAACUUUAGACGUUAAAUACACGAAUAUAUAUUUUUGAGUGUCUAACUCGUAAAGGUCUAAUGUACAGAUUUACCAAACGCUAACUUUGCCAGCGAAUGUUUGAUCCUAUAAUUACAUCUUUGUCAUCGUCUUUUUUUAGACAAUGGCAUUGGGUGUUUUCUUUUAAUUGUGGUUUCCCUUGGAAUCCUUCUUCCCUUUUUAAUGUAAUUUAUAAACUACAACAAUUGAUAAAAAGAAUGCCAGUAUACAGACACUGCUGGUAAAUAUGAAAUAGGUUUCGUAAUGAUAAAUCUGUCUCUCUACGGAUUUAAGAGCUUUAAAUUUCCAAAUGUACAUCUUCAUCUUCGUCUUUAGUUUAAACAAUGUAAAUAAUGUAGAGCUGUCAUUGUAAUGAUUUUAGCACUAUAAUUUUUCAAAUGUACAUCUUCGUCUUUAAGCAAUGUAAAUAAUAUGUUUCAUUGUAUUUACAUAUAACCAUCAAGCCAUAAGGACCAUAACCUACAGUCAAUUGAACAUCUAUAUUACACAGUUUGGUAAGUUUUUUACAGUAUGGAUUUAAGUGAAUGGCAACAUUUGAAU